rnacentral:rRNA from 1 species
UCUAUAAUCGAUUCCCCCCGAUCUACCUCACCACUUCUUGAUCCCAGUCUAUAUACCUCCGUCGUAAGCUUACCGUGUGAACGCACCUAGUAGGCUAAAAGAUUUAUCACCCAUACGUCAGGUCAAGGUGUAGCCUACGAAGCGGAAAGAAAUGGGCUACAAUCUCUACUUUAGAACAAACGGAAAGCUGCAUGAAACACAGCUUCUGAAGGCGGAUUUAGUAGUAAAAAGAAAAUAGAGCGUUCUUUUUAACCAGGCACUGGGACGCGUACACACCGCCCGUCACCCUCUUCAGACAAAUUUUAAAGUUACUAACACCACUUAAUCAUACAGAAGAGGCAAGUCGUAACAUGGUAAGUGUACUGGAAAGUGUACUUGGAACAAAAUGUAGCUUAAUUAAAGCAUCUUGCUUACACCAAGAGUAUGUCCGUGAAACUCCAACCAUUUUGAGCCUAACUUACAGCCCCCCCCCAAUAACUUUCUUUCUUCCCUAACAGACUAAUUAAAACAUUUAAUGAAUUUAGUAAAGGUGAUUAAAAAACUUCUAGGAG